CUAGCUGUAAACGAUGGAUAUUAGGCGUUGAGAGUAUCGACCCUCUCAGUGUCGUAGCUAACGCGUUAAGUAUCCCGCCUGGGGAGUACGCGCGCAAGCGUGAAACUCAAAGGAAUUGACGGGGGCCCGCACAAGCGGUGGAGUAUGUGGUUUAAUUCGAUGCAACGCGAAGAACCUUACCAGGGCUUGACAUGUCCGGAACCCUGCCCAAAGGCGGGGGUGCCUACGGGAACCGGAACACAGGUGGUGC
rnacentral:rRNA from 1 species